AAACUUAAAGGAAUUGACGGGACCCGCACAAGCAGCGGAGCGUGUGGUUUAAUUCGUUGCUACACGAAGAACCUUACCUGGGUUUGACAUAUAGGUUGUAGGGAACUGAAAGGGACCGACCCUUCGGGGAGCCUAUACAGGUGUUGCAUGGCUGUCGUCAGCUCGUGUCGUGAGAUGUUCGGUUAAGUCCGCUAACGAGCGCAACCCUCGUCGUAUGUUAUAUGUGUCAUACGAGACUGCCGGUAAAAAGCCGGAGGAAGGUGAGGAUGAUGUCAAGUCAGCAUGACCUUUAUAUCCAGGGCUACACACACGCUACAAUGGUCUGUACAAUGGGUAGCCAAGCCGCGAGGCGGAGCCAAUCCUGAAAGCAGGCCUCAGUUCAGAUUGCAGUCUGCAACUCGACUGCAUGAAGCCGGAGUUGCUAGUAAACGCGUGUCAGCAUAGCGCGUUGAAUACGUUCUCGGGCCUU
rnacentral:rRNA from 1 species